UUUCUUUCUGACAUCCUGUAGGGACAUGGCUGGUGCUGAAGCUUUGUGUCUCCAGGCAGCAGGCUGGGAAAGACUUUUGCUGCCUGUAUGACCCUAUGCUGGGGCUACCAAGGAGACUCCUGGGACUACACUCAGCAAGGGACAUUUUCAACUGGAUGGUGCUUAGAGCAGGAGAUGCCACUCAAGCCCUAACACACUGGAUGGAAGGGGGAACACACAGGUCUCCUUGAUGGAAGAGGCUUCUGAUUGACAGAGAAUUUGGGCCAGAGGCUUACAAGCAGAUGGACUAAGAGCAACAAAAGAAAAUAUCUACUGAUCCAGGUGAAGAUCAGCCAU